rnacentral:rRNA from 1 species
AAAUUAAGUACGGAAGUUCCUGAUUUCACGCUGUCAAGAAAAGCCUCUAGGAAGAGUAGUACUGCCCGUACCGCAAACCGACACAGGUAGAUGAGGAGAGAAUCCUAAGGUGAGCGAGAGAACUCUCGUUAAGGAACUCGGCAAAAUGACCCCGUAACUUCGGGAGAAGGGGUGCUCUAUUAGGGUGCAAGCCCGAGAGAGCCGCAGUGAAUAGGCCCAGGCGACUGUUUAGCAAAAACACAGGUCUCUGCAAAACCGUAAGGUGACGUAUAGGGGCUGACGCCUGCCCGGUGCUGGAAGGUUAAGAGGAGUGCUUAGCUUCGGCGAAGGUACGAAUUGAAGCCCCAGUAAACGGCGGCCGUAACUAUAACGGUCCUAAGGUAGCGAAAUUCCUUGUCGGGUAAGUUCCGACCCGCACGAAAGGCGCAACGAUCUGGGCACUGUCUCAACGAGAGACUCGGUGAAAUUAUAGUACCUGUGAAGAUGCAGGUUACCCGCGACAGGACGGAAAGACCCCGUGGAGCUUUACUGCAACCUGAUAUGGAAUGUUUGUACCGCUUGUACAGGAUAGGUAGGAGCCGAAGAGACGUGUGCGCUAGCAUACGAGGAGGCAAUGGUGGGAUACUACCCUGGCUGUAUGACCAUUCUAACCCGCCACGCUUAGCGCGUGGGGAGACAGUGUCAGGUGGGCAGUUUGACUGGGGCGGUCGCCUCCUAAAGAGUAACGGAGGCGCCCAAAGGUUCCCUC